ensembl:lncRNA
AGAUUGACGGCUGAUGUCCGUCCCGGUGGACUCGGGUCGUACUUUUCAGAGUCUGAUCAGAUUCUUGUGUUCCUGGCAAUACCGCGGGGAGUUUGGCACAAACGCCUCAGCAGAAAUGUACAGAUUAUAAGACAGAGAUGGACAUGUAAAAAGAUGAAAUCCACGGGGAACAGUGAAAGCUGGCAGCAUCACAGAAACCGCAGCUCCAAGAAAACUCCCAAAACUGAAAAAGUCAAAUACAAAGUGUAAAAAGUAUGAAUGGAAAAACUAAGGUCGAUUUGUUGAGACUGUACAACCACUGAAAUCGACUUAAAUUCUACCUUCUCUUCAACCAACUGACUGGUUGAUGCCUGUUAUUUCUAGAUGAACUAGAUCGAGCACAGUGCACUGACUGCUCCCUACCUGCUGGAUGCUGAGUGCUGAUCAAAUCUAAACAACAUCGCCAAGAAAACAACUUCCUGCAGUUUGACCAUUUCUUUUUCACACCAAGCUCUGGCUUUACCUUCAGGACAUGUCUAUCAGGUAUAUCAUACAACAGCAACACACAACCACAAAGCUAACGCAGUGUAGAGCGCUGCAGCUCCACAAAAAGCAACAUUAAAAAACAGUUCCCAGCAUGCAACCGACUACUGUUGUUGUUUUGUUGCUUCAAAUACGGGGUCAGAGUACGCUGGCAGUCCGGACAACGGACAAACCAAAGAAUCCUCCAAUUAGUUUGGAGCUCAGUAAAUGUUGAGGUCCUGCAGUCAGCUGCCAGUUUAAGUUGUAAAGACAGGGAAGUUUUGACUUCCUGACAUUAACGUCUAUUAAACCAUACGAUUAUUAAAACAGAACCGUAUUUGUCUAGUAAAAUAUAUUUGAUUGUUUUUAUACAUAAUCAGUGUUAUUUCUAACUAUAUAGCAUUCUAACACCAGCAUUGUCUGAGCAAUGAGGUUUUGGUUGGACGGGAGCAUAUCGACCAACCAAUCAACCAGAAGGUGUCAGCCCUUGUAUUCAUGUGGUAGUUCCUGCAGUUAUAUUAAACUGCUCUUUAGGAUGAUGUGAUAAUUAGGAUGUGAUAAAAAUGACCUGUAUAAAACUGAGCAGAUACUAAAAUUCAACUCUUUUAUUUAGGCCUCACUUAUUGAAUAACUUUUCUCUCCAGCUGAUCUUUGUCCGUCCUCUCUCUGUGACUUGUUGAAGGAUUUGGAUUCCGUUUGUUCACUUUCUGCCUCCACCAUUGCUGAGGGAGGAGGGACCACCACCACAUCCUAGUUGGCCCCUCAUAUCUCUGUAGCUAAACAUUAGCUAAGACGUGACUAUGUCUUAACUUAGACAGAAUGAUAGAUAAAUGUUACACACUGGAUCUUUAAGUUAGCUUUUUUUGCUACAGAGCAAAACGCCGGCUACCUAGCCAAUAAUCUCUAUUAUUACAAUAACUGUUAGAUAGCUGAUUCUAGCACGUGGAAUCUCUUUUGUCAUGUCUUUUCAACAUAGACUUGCUUAGUUAGCUAGCAUUUGCUACACAGCAAAGCACAUGCUAAGUAGCUAGCUAAUCUACAUAAAUCAUUAGCUAGCUGGUUAUGUCUGAAAGUUAAUGAUAGCAAAACGCUAAAUUUACCUGGUACCUAAUGUUUAGCUAACAGUAGCUAACUUACGAUGUGACUAUAUGUUUCUUUUUAUCUUUUAACAAUCUUCAAAAUGUGGUUCUUUUAAACAUAGAUUAGCCUAGCUUGUCCUUACACAAGAUUCAAUUAGACAUUUAAGUAAUAAGGAUCACGUCCAAGAGUUUUUGGCAUAACUAAACAUUUUGAACCAGUUUGUUUACUAUAAUAC